rnacentral:snRNA from 1 species
UUCCUUCAGCAGCACAUAUUCUAAAAUUGGAAUGAUACAGAGAAGUAUAGCAUGGGCCCUGUGCAAGGAAGCAACAUAAAUUCAUGAAGUGUUCCAUAUUUUU